AGAGUUUGUCAUGGCUCAGGAUGAACGCUGGCGGCGUGCCUAACACAUGCAAGUCGAGCGAGAAACCAUCGAUUGAAACUUCGGUAGAUAUUGAAGGCGGAAAGCGGCGGACGGGUGAGUAACGCGUAGGCAACCUGCCCUUUGCAGAGGGAUAGCAACGGGAAACUGUUAUUAAAACCUCAUAAUACCGACAUGUCAAAUGACAAGACGGUCAAAGAUUUAUCGGCAAAGGAUGGGCCUGCGUCUGAUUAGUUAGUUGGUAGGGUAACGGCCUACCAAGGCAGCGAUCAGUAGCCGACCUGAGAGGGUGAUCGGCCACAUUGGAACUGAGACACGGUCCAAACUCCUACGGGAGGCAGCAGUAGGGAAUAUUGCACAAUGGGCCGAAAGCCUGAUGCAGCAACGCCGCGUGAAGGAUGAAGGCCUUUGGGUCGUAAACUUCUGUCCUUGGGGAAGAAAAAAAUGACGGUACCCCUGGAGGAAGUCCCGGCUAACUACGUGCCAGCAGCCGCGGUAAUACGUAGGGGGCGAGCGUUAUCCGGAAUUAUUGGGCGUAAAGAGUACGUAGGUGGUUUUUUAAGCGCAGGGUUUAAGGCGAUGGCUCAACUGUCGUUCGCCCUGUGAACUGGAAGACUUGAGUACAGGAGAGGAAAGCGGAAUUCCUAGUGUAGCGGUGAAAUGCAUAGAUAUUAGGAGGAACACCAGUGGCGAAGGCGGCUUUCUGGACUGUAACUGACACUGAGGUACGAAAGCGUGGGGAGCAAACAGGAUUAGAUACCCUGGUAGUCCACGCUGUAAACGAUGAGCACUAGGUGUCGGGGUCGCAAGAUCUCGGUGCCGCAGUUAACGCAUUAAGUGCUCCGCCUGGGGAGUACGCACGCAAGUGUGAAACUCAAAGGAAUUGACGGGGACCCGCACAAGCAGCGGAGCAUGUGGUUUAAUUCGAAGCAACGCGAAGAACCUUACCAGAACUUGACAUCCUCCUGACAGGCCUUUAAUCGGGCCCUUCUUCGGACAGGAGAGACAGGUGGUGCAUGGUUGUCGUCAGCUCGUGUCGUGAGAUGUUGGGUUAAGUCCCGCAACGAGCGCAACCCUUGUCAUUAGUUGCUAACAUUAAGUUGAGGACUCUAAUGAGACUGCCGGGGACAACUCGGAGGAAGGUGGGGAUGACGUCAAAUCAUCAUGCCCCUUAUGUUCUGGGCUACACACGUGCUGCAAUGGCCGGUACAACGAGAAGCGAAGUCGCAAGGCGGAGCAAACCUCAAAAACCGGUCCCAGUUCGGAUUGCAGGCUGAAACCCGCCUGCAUGAAGCCGGAGUUGCUAGUAAUCGCGAAUCAGAAUGUCGCGGUGAAUGCGUUCCCGGGUCUUGUACACACCGCCCGUCACACCAUGGAAGUUGGGGGCGCCCGAAGUUGGUCAAAUAAUAGAUUACCUAAGGCGAAAUCAAUGACUGGGGUGAAGUCGUAACAAGGUA
rnacentral:rRNA from 1 species